rfam:Triticum aestivum genome assembly, contig: Triticum_aestivum_CS42_TGACv1_scaffold_516573_6BS
AUUCUACUCCCUCCGUUGCACAAUACAUGCCUUCUAUUUGUCAAAAUAUAUAUGUAUCUAGACAUGUUUUAGUAUAUAGGCACAUCCAUUUUUGGAUAAAUGGAAGUCAAGUAUUUUGGAACGGAGGGAGUACACA